UAACGUUUGUAGAUGAGCUCGCUGGGC
rnacentral:piRNA from 1 species